ACACAUUGAAAUACCUUAACUCUUAACUUGAUGUCUCCCUUUUUCUACAUGUCUACCUAAUAAAUGUCUGUGUCUGUCUGUUUACCUUUCCACCUGCCUGUCUGUCUACCUGCCUGUCCACCUGACUGUUUGUCUGUGUGUCCAGCCAAAGAGAGUGGGUCUGCUGAUCUGGUGUUUGAGGAGUUUAAAAGGGACUUCAUGAGGGGAGUGGUCGGCGAAGAAGAUGAGGAGAACUAGGAGGCCAGAGGAUCCCUAGGGGGCCAGAUCCGCCCUUAGGCCAGAUCAGCCCUAGGAGGCCAGAUCCGCCCUAGGAGGCCAGAUCACCACUAAGAGCAGGAUGACCACUCAGUCUUUAGUAUUUUGUUACCAUGGUCACGGUAAACCCUUCAUCUCAGCUUGAGGGAGUAGAGAUGAGCCAAUCAGAGCGGUGCUAUGCAAAUGGCUGGUCUAGAUCCCAGUAGAUGACUGCUGAGUCGAAGAUAGGAAGUAGAAAUGAUGUACUGUUACAACCUCCUCACCAAUAAAUACUGUUCUAUGACUGCAUGAAAAA
ensembl:lncRNA